GACGAACGCUGGCGGCGUGCUUAACACAUGCAAGUCGAACGGAAAGGCCCUGCUUUUGUGGGGUGCUCGAGUGGCGAACGGGUGAGUAACACGUGAGUAACCUGCCCUUGACUUUGGGAUAACUUCAGGAAACUGGGGCUAAUACCGGAUAGGAGCUCCUGCUGCAUGGUGGGGGUUGGAAAGUUUCGGCGGUUGGGGAUGGACUCGCGGCUUAUCAGCUUGUUGGUGGGGUAGUGGCUUACCAAGGCUUUGACGGGUAGCCGGCCUGAGAGGGUGACCGGCCACAUUGGGACUGAGAUACGGCCCAGACGCCUACGGGAGGCAGCAGUGGGGAAUAUUGCACAAUGGGCGGAAGCCUGAUGCAGCAACGCCGCGUGCGGGAUGACGGCCUUCGGGUUGUAAACCGCUUUCGCCUGUGACGAAGCGUGAGUGACGGUAAUGGGGAAAGAAGCACCGGCUAACUACGU
rnacentral:rRNA from 1 species